AUUGAACGCUGGCGGCAGGCCUAACACAUGCAAGUCGAACGGUAACAGGAAACAGCUUGCUGUUUCGCUGACGAGUGGCGGACGGGUGAGUAAUGUCUGGGAAACUGCCUGAUGGAGGGGGAUAACUACUGGAAACGGUAGCUAAUACCGCAUAACGUCGCAAGACCAAAGAGGGGGACCUUCGGGCCUCUUGCCAUCGGAUGUGCCCAGAUGGGAUUAGCUAGUAGGUGGGGUAACGGCUCACCUAGGCGACGAUCCCUAGCUGGUCUGAGAGGAUGCCCAGCCACACUGGAACUGAGACACGGUCCAGACUCCUACGGGAGGCAGCAGUGGGGAAUAUAGCACAAUGGGCGCAAGCCUGAUGCAGCCAUGUCGCGUGUAUGAAGAAGGCCUUCGGGUUGUAAAGUACUUUCAGCGGGGAGGAAGGGAGUAAAGUUAAUACCUUUGCUCAUUGACGUUACCCGCAGAAGAAGCACCGGCUAACUCCGUGCCAGCCGCCGCAGUAA
rnacentral:rRNA from 1 species